AGAAACUGAAUGAAUGUCAUUAACUGUGAAUUACAAUUAGUAAGAAACUACUAUCAUAAAUUUUGCUUUAUGUAGUAUGUUAGUAAACUAUUAUGAUUUCAUAAUUUGAAAUAGUUUAUAUAGCUUAAUAGUAAUCCCAAUAGGCUGUGAAAUUGUUUGAAGAAGUAGGAAAACGGGUAUUAGUAAUGAAGGCAAUUGUUUCGUCUAACUUCUCUUCUUAUAGUAUGCUGAGAUUCAGAAUUCCAAAAUUUGACAAGCUUGGGUUUUGAUAUUAACUAGUGAUGUGGAUCAUGAAUCUUGUGACAUUUAUUUUUCCGUGUUAUGAUUAACUUUGUAAUUCCAUGUUGUAAUGGACUUACUACCAACCUAGUAGGGUAAAAAUAUAGGUGAGUCCAAUAACGGAGGCAAUGACAGUAUGCAAAUAUUAAGGGUUAGAAGCCUAAGAAAUAAACAAGGAUACUAUGAGAAAUGCAGAGGAGAAAAUGGCAAUGACAGACCACACAAUUUAUGAAUGAAAUGCAGAGGAGAAAAUGGCAAGAGAUAGGGAAGGCAAGGACACUAUGAGAUCAAGCAAAAAACAGGUCUUCUAGGGGUUUUCUUGCUUCAUUCUGGUAAUGCAAGAUCAUAAGCAUCCUCUACCGGAGACAAUUUUGAUCGAGGGGAACAAGACCACUUUAGAUGACAAAACUCUCUUCAAAUAUUUAAUGUAAUUGCAUAAUCAAACUCAAACUUGCGGUGGUACAAAACCAUUGUUACUUGUGAGCUGUGAACUUUUCUUUUUUAAGGAGGAAGGGUUAGGAACUAGAAUUCUAUGGGAAAAUGGGUAGAAGAUCCCUAAUUAUGUUGUCAAAAUGCUCGUUAUAGACUACAAAGAUCUUAGUUUUAUACAAUACAGUCUGUACUCAUUCUCUGUUGUACUAAAAAGAU